rnacentral:tRNA from 1 species
GCGCUCGUAGCUCAAUAGGAUAGAGCAACUGCCUUCUAAGCCGUAGGUUACAGGUUCGAUCCCUGUCGGGCGCACCA